rnacentral:rRNA from 1 species
UACAGAGGUCCCGAGCGUUGUUCGGAUUUAUUGGGCGUAAAGGGUGCGUAGGCGGCGGAGUAAGUUGGGUGUGAAAUCCCGGGGCUCAACCUCGGAAUUGCAUUCAAUACUGCUUCGCUCGAGUACUGGAGAGGAGACUGGAAUUCAUGGUGUAGCAGUGAAAUUCGUAGAUAUCGGGAGGAACACCAGUGGCGAAGGCGGCGAUCUGGGUCGAUACUGACGCUGAGGUGCGAAAGCGUGGGGAGCAAACAGG